CCAGGAGCAUCGCUGGGUAGCUACGUGCGGACGGGAUAAACGCUGAAAGCAUCUAAGCGUGAAGCCCCCCUCAAGAUGAGAUUUCCCACUUUUGGUAAGACCCCUUGUAGACGACGAGGUUGAUAGGCUAGAGGUGGACGCGCAGCAAUGUGUGGAGCUGACUAGUACUAAUCGGUCGAGGGCUUAUCCUU
rnacentral:rRNA from 1 species